rnacentral:rRNA from 1 species
AGAAUCAACGCUGGCGGCGUGCCUAACACAUGCAAGUCGAACGAGAAAGUGGAGCAAUCCAUGAGUAAAGUGGCGACCGGGUGAGUAACACGUGACUAACCUACCUUCGAGUGGGGGAUAACCUCGGGAAACCGAGGCUAAUACCGCAUAACAUCGUGAGAUCAAAGCAGUAAUGCGCUGGAAGAGGGGGUCGCGGCUGAUUAGCUAGUUGGCGGGUAAUGGCCCACAAGGCGAAGAUCGGUAGCCGGCCUGAGAGGGGCGCGACGGACCGACGACCUGGAACUGAAACACGGUCCAGACUCCUACGGGAGGCAGCAGUGGGGAAUUUUGCGCAAUGGGGGAAACCCUGACGCAGCAACGCCGCGUGGAGGAUGAAGUCCCUUGGGACGUAAACUCCUUUCGACCAAGACGAUAAUGACGGUACUGGUGGAAGAAGCACCGGCUAACUCUGUGCCAGCAGCCGC